GCUUCUUGAUCCCUGCUGCCUCAGCAUGGCAGGAAGUCCAGCUGGAAGCAUCCGCCAGCCUCGGGAAUGGCCUCUGCCUCUAACUGCCUCCUCACAGACACGGCCAGGAAAAAGUCCAGCAGGAAUGGUGCAGCAUCAUGGGAGCCCUCCUGUGUGCCUGUCGCUACAAGACAGGGCAUGGCCAAGAGGACAGCUUCAAGACCAAGACCCUGGGGCAGGUCUCAGUCCUGUGAAGACUCUUGGAGAGGCUGCCUCCAGUACCCAGGUUGCCGGUCCCCCGACUCCCUGACUCGUGAGGGCUCAGGACCCCACUUAUGAUUUCUUCAUAAGUCUCCAAGAUGUAAAUCCUCCUCAUAAGUAUUUAUGAUGCUGCAGAUUUAACAUAAUAAAACACUUGGCGAUUAUGGAUAAGCCA
rnacentral:lncRNA from 1 species